CAAUUAAAUUACCAAUUGUUCGCCAAAUAACUACGAGUAAAAACUUAAAAUUUAAAAGACUUGACGGUGCCUCAAAACAACCUAGAGGAGCCUGUCUAAUAACCGAUACCCCACGAUUAACCCAACCCACCCUAGCCUGACAGUCUAUAUACCGCCGUCGCCAGCCUACCUUGUGAAAGAAACAAAGUGAGCUUAAUAGUUAUACACUAACACGACAGGUCGAGGUGUAACUAAUGGGUGGGCUCAAGAUGGGCUACAUUUUCUAAAUCAGAAAAUACGAAUUAACCUAUGAAAAAGAAACUGAAGGCGGAUUUAGCAGUAUGUUAGGAACAACAAACCUAACAGAAAUCAGCGCAAUGAGGUGCGUACACACCGCCCGUCAUCCCUGCCAACCACAACUAAACAUACAUAAA
rnacentral:rRNA from 1 species